GGGACACGUGGUAUCCUGUCUGAAUAUGGGGGGACCAUCCUCCAAGGCUAAAUACUCCUGACUGACCGAUAGUGAACCAGUACCGUGAGGGAAAGGCGAAAAGAACCCCGGCGAGGGGAGUGAAAAAGAACCUGAAACCGUGUACGUACAAGCAGUGGGAGCCUCUUAAUGGGGUGACUGCGUACCUUUUGUAUAAUGGGUCAGCGACUUAUAUUCUGUAGCAAGGUUAACCGAAUAGGGGAGCCGAAGGGAAACCGAGUCUUAACUGGGCGUUAAGUUGCAGGGUAUAGACCCGAAACCCGGUGAUCUAGCCAUGGGCAGGUUGAAGGUUGGGUAACACUAACUGGAGGACCGAACCGACUAAUGUUGAAAAAUUAGCGGAUGACUUGUGGCUGGGGGUGAAAGGCCAAUCAAACCGGGAGAUAGCUGGUUCUCCCCGAAAGCUAUUUAGGUAGCGCCUCGUGAAUUCAUCUCCGGGGGUAGAGCACUGUUUCGGCAAGGGGGUCAUCCCGACUUACCAACCCGAUGCAAACUGCGAAUACCGGAGAAUGUUAUCACGGGAGACACACGGCGGGUGCUAACGUCCGUCGUGAAGAGGGAAACAACCCAGACCGCCAGCUAAGGUCCCAAAGUCAUGGUUAAGUGGGAAACGAUGUGGGAAGGCCCAGACAGCCAGGAUGUUGGCUUAGAAGCAGCCAUCAUUUAAAGAAAGCGUAAUAGCUCACUGGUCGAGUCGGCCUGCGCGGAAGAUGUAACGGGGCUAAACCAUGCACCGAAGCUGCGGCAGCGACGCUUAUGCGUUGUUGGGUAGGGGAGCGUUCUGUAAGCCUGUGAAGGUGUGCUGUGAGGCAUGCUGGAGGUAUCAGAAGUGCGAAUGCUGACAUAAGUAACGAUAAAGCGGGUGAAAAGCCCGCUCGCCGGAAGACCAAGGGUUCCUGUCCAACGUUAAUCGGGGCAGGGUGAGUCGACCCCUAAGGCGAGGCCGAAAGGCGUAGUCGAUGGGAAACAGGUUAAUAUUCCUGUACUUGGUGUUACUGCGAAGGGGGGGACGGAGAAGGCUAUGUUGGCCGGGCGACGGUUGUCCCGGUUUAAGCGUGUAGGCUGGUUUUCCAGGCAAAUCCGGAAAACCAAGGCUGAGGCGUGAUGACGAGGCACUACGGUGCUGAAGCGACAAAUGCCCUGCUUCCAGGAAAAGCCUCUAAGCAUCAGGUAACAUCAAAUCGUACCCCAAACCGACACAGGUGGUCAGGUAGAGAAUACCAAGGCGCUUGAGAGAACUCGGGUGAAGGAACUAGGCAAAAUGGUGCCGUAACUUCGGGAGAAGGCACGCUGAUAUGUAGGUGAAGCGACUUGCUCGUGGAGCUGAAAUCAGUCGAAGAUACCAGCUGGCUGCAACUGUUUAUUAAAAACACAGCACUGUGCAAACACGAAAGUGGACGUAUACGGUGUGACGCCUGCCCGGUGCCGGAAGGUUAAUUGAUGGGGUUAGCGGCAACGCGAAGCUCUUGAUCGAAGCCCCGGUAAACGGCGGCCGUAACUAUAACGGUCCUAAGGUAGCGAAAUUCCUUGUCGGGUAAGUUCCGACCUGCACGAAUGGCGUAAUGAUGGCCAGGCUGUCUCCACCCGAGACUCAGUGAAAUUGAACUCGCUGUGAAGAUGCAGUGUACCCGCGGCAAGACGGAAAGACCCCGUGAACCUUUACUAUAGCUUGACACUGAACAUUGAGCCUUGAUGUGUAGGAUAGGUGGGAGGCUUUGAAGUGUGGACGCCAGUCUGCAUGGAGCCGACCUUGAAAUACCACCCUUUAAUGUUUGAUGUUCUAACGUUGGCCCCUAAUCGGGGUUGCGGACAGUGUCUGGUGGGUAGUUUGACUGGGGCGGUCUCCUCCUAAAGAGUAACGGAGGAGCACGAAGGUUGGCUAAUCCUGGUCGGACAUCAGGAGGUUAGUGCAAUGGCAUAAGCCAGCUUGACUGCGAGCGUGACGGCGCGAGCAGGUGCGAAAGCAGGUCAUAGUGAUCCGGUGGUUCUGAAUGGAAGGGCCAUCGCUCAACGGAUAAAAGGUACUCCGGGGAUAACAGGCUGAUACCGCCCAAGAGUUCAUAUCGACGGCGGUGUUUGGCACCUCGAUGUCGGCUCAUCACAUCCUGGGGCUGAAGUAGGUCCCAAGGGUAUGGCUGUUCGCCAUUUAAAGUGGUACGCGAGCUGGGUUUAGAACGUCGUGAGACAGUUCGGUCCCUAUCUGCCGUGGGCGCUGGAGAACUGAGGGGGGCUGCUCCUAGUACGAGAGGACCGGAGUGGACGCAUCACUGGUGUUCGGGUUGUCAUGCCAAUGGCACUGCCCGGUAGCUAAAUGCGGAAGAGAUAAGUGCUGAAAGCAUCUAAGCACGAAACUUGCCCCGAGAUGAGUUCUCCCUGAGACUUAGAGUCUCCUGAAGGAACGUUGAAGACGACGA
rnacentral:rRNA from 1 species